rnacentral:rRNA from 1 species
GGGCCCGCACAAGCGGUGGAGCAUGUGGUUUAAUUCGAUGAUACGCGAGGAACCUUACCAGGGCUUAAAUGUAAGUUGCAUAGAUCAGAGAUGGUCUUUUCUUCGGACUACUUACAAGGUGCUGCAUGGUUGUCGUCAGCUCGUGCCGUGAGGUGUCAGGUUAAGUCCUAUAACGAGCGCAACCCCUGUCGUUAGUUACCAGCAAGUAAUGUUGGGUACUCUAGCGAGACUGCCGGUGCAAAACCGUGAGGAAGGUGGGGAUGACGUCAAAUCAUCACGGCCCUUACGUCCUGGCCACACACGUGCUACAAUGGCCGGUACAGAGAGCAGCUACCACGUGAGUGGAUG